UGACAGCAAGAUGUUCUUCUUAGGAAGAAUUUAUUUAUACAUUGGAUGUUGCAAGGAUAUGCUCAAACAUGGACCAACAUUCUAUUACGAUGAGGUUCAUGAUUGUAUCACUAUGCUUUGCAAGAAUGGUGGGCUAAUACUUAACUAGUACAAUGGUGCCUCAUGAUAAUAUUCGGGGUAUACAUUUGCUAGGGGCCAAAUUAUAUGGAAACUCACAUCAUGAUGUGAAUGAGUAGAAUGACUCUCUCUUUAUUAUUUGUGUUAUCCCUAAAUCCUAUUAUGGUACAGUGAUCCCAAUAAUAGGAAGCCUCUCAUCC
rnacentral:lncRNA from 1 species